rnacentral:rRNA from 1 species
UACGUAGGCAGCAAGCGUUGUUCGGAGUUACUGGGCGUAAAGGGUGUGUAGGCGGUUGUUUAAGUUUGGUGGGAAAUCUCCCGGCUCAACUGGGAGGGUGCGCCGAAUACUGAAUGACUAGAGUGCGGGAGAGGAAAGUGGAAUUCCUGGUGUAGCGGUGAAAUGCGUAGAUAUCAGGAGGAACACCGGUGGUGUAGACGGCUUUCUGGACCGUAACUGACGCUGAGACACGAAAGCGUGGGUAGCAAACAGG